UACGGGGGGGGCAAGCGUUGUUCGGAAUUACUGGGCGUAAAGGGCGCGUAGGCGGUUUGUUAAGUUGGAUGUGAAAACUCUGGGCUUAACCCAGAGCCUGCAUCCAAAACUGGCAAACUUGAGUACUGGAGGGGAGAGCGGAAUUCCUGGUGUAGCGGUGAAAUGCGUAGAUAUCAGGAGGAACACCGGUGGCGAAGGCGGCUUUCUGGACAGUAACUGACGCUGAGGCGCGAAAGCUAGGGGAGCAAACAGG
rnacentral:rRNA from 1 species